ensembl:lncRNA
CACAACAUCACGUGCGUCGCACGCCAUGGCCGAACUUCCACUCCUGUUAGGAACCUCCCGUGUGGCAGGUUUUAGAUGCCACGGGUUAGGUUGGAGGCAGCAUCUGGAGUCCAGUUCCUCGGGUUCAAACCCCAGGUCCAGACUCAUCAUCCUCCACGGGCCUGCGCAUUUCAUACCCUCUGGGUGCCUCAGUUUCCCCAUCCUUAAACGAGAUCCUUGGGUUGAUAAGAUCCCCUGGAGGAGGAAAUGGCAACCCACUCUAGUAUUCAUGCUUGGAACAUCUCGUGGACAGAGGAGCCUGGCAGGCUACAAUCCAUGGGGUCACAAAGAAUUGGACACGACCAAAGCAGCUGAGCAUGCAUGCAUACACCAAAAUUAUCUCAGAGCUAAGAGUCUUGCCCCAAACUACCCUCCCUUGUUGCUUUCUCCAGAAUAGCAGCAACUCCUGACCUCAGCUCCUAUCUUCUCACUGAGAUUUCAGGAAAUGAUGACCUCCUGGGCACGAAUGUCCCGUAUGUAGACUCACAUCAGAGUCCUUGGGUUUCCUGACUAAAGCCAGCUGCUCCUGUAUCAGGCUUCAUGAAGCUCUGAGCCUGUGUUCUUAUGGAGAUUUUCCAUCUAGUCUCUCAAUGCAAGAGCACAGGAGACUUGUAAAGCUCUGGAACAUUCUAGAAGAUCAUAAACACCAGACCUUCAAGCAGCUGGCUGUAGAAAUGGAGCAAAGCGUGCACCAACUCUCACCCCUGUCCUCACAUCCUCCAAGCUGAGCUCAUCCACACUGGGUCACGAGGAGACACAGCAUCCAGAGUUCCUGGCUGGACUCCACUGUUGCUCUGACAAUAGAGUAGAUACAUUGUGUGAGUGGUAGCCACUGAGGUGGGUACACAGCCUUCCCAGAGGAUACUGUGUAGACAUGCUG